rnacentral:rRNA from 1 species
UACGUAGGGACCAAGCGUUGUCCGGAAUUAUUGGGCCUAAAGCAUCCGUAGCCGGCUCUGUAAGUUUUCGGUUAAAUCUGUACGCUCAACGUACAGGCUGCCGGGAAUACGGCAGAGCUAGGGAGUGGGAGAGGUAGACGGUACUCGGUAGGAAGGGGUAAAAUCCUUUGAUCUAUUGAUGACCACCUGUGGCGAAGGCGGCCUACCAGAACACGUCCGACGGUGAGGGAUGAAAGCUGGGGGAGCAAACCGG